AUAAUCAUGUCAUCUUGACAAGUAACUUAAAUUACAUUUGAGAUAAGUAAUUUUUCUUGAGCUUAUUAAAAUUGUUAACAUGGUGCCUGAAUUUGUUGAUGAAAUCAGUCUAAUGUCAUGUCUUGUUGGCCUUUGAAAGUCUAGAUGUUAUUUCAAAGUAGUAAACAUUCAUAAUUUCAACUGUCUUAUUUUAUGAAACAGCUGUUUUAGGGAAACCAAUAUAAUGGUGUCAUCAAAUUCUGAAAAGUGUCUUUCUCCCACCCCAGGGGCCUGGAAUAGGAAAUGCCUCUCUUUCUACGUUUGGUUUUGUGGGAGCUGCGCUUGAAAUCAUUUUGAUUUUCUAUCUUAUGGUGUCCUCUGUUGUCGGCUUCUAUAGCCUUCGAUUUUUUGGAAACUUUACUCCCAAGAAAGAUGACACAACUAUGACAAAGAUCAUUGGAAAUUGUGUGUCCAUCUUGGUUUUGAGCUCUGCUCUGCCUGUGAUGUCGAGAACACUGGGAAUCACUAGAUUUGAUCUACUUGGCGACUUUGGAAGGUUUAAUUGGCUGGGAAAUUUCUAUAUUGUAUUAUCCUACA
rnacentral:lncRNA from 1 species